GUUGACCUCGGAUCAGGCGGGGAUACCCGCUGAACUUAAGCAUAUCAAUAAGCGGAGGAAAAGAAACCAACAGGGAUUGCCCUAGUAACGGCGAGUGAAGCGGCAACAGCUCAAAUUUGAAAUCUGGCGUCUUUGGCGUCCGAGUUGUAAUUUGCAGAGGGCGCUUUGGCAUUGGCAGCGGUCCAAGUUCCUUGGAACAGGACGUCACAGAGGGUGAGAAUCCCGUACGUGGUCGCUAGCCUUUACCGUGUAAAGCCCCUUCGACGAGUCGAGUUGUUUGGGAAUGCAGCUCUAAAUGGGAGGUAAAUUUCUUCUAAAGCUAAAUACUGGCCAGAGACCGAUAGCGCACAAGUAGAGUGAUCGAAAGAUGAAAAGCACUUUGGAAAGAGAGUUAAAAAGCACGUGAAAUUGUUGAAAGGGAAGCGCUUGCAGCCAGACUUGCCUGUAGUUGCUCAUCCGGGUUUUUACCCGGUGCACUCUUCUACGGGCAGGCCAGCAUCAGUUUGGGCGGUUGGAUAAAGGUCUCUGUCAUGUACCUCCUCUCGGGGAGAUCUUAUAGGGGAGACGACAUGCAACCAGCCUGGACUGAGGUCCGCGCAUCUGCUAGGAUGCUGGCGUAAUGGCUGUAAGCGGCCCGUCUUGAAACACGGACCAAGGAGUCUAACAUCUAUGCGAGUGUUUGGGUGUCAAGCCCGAACGCGUAAUGAAAGUGAACGGAGGUGGGAACCUUUCGGGGUGCACCAUCGACCGAUCCUGAUGUCUUCGGAUGGAUUUGAGUAAGAGCAUAGCUGUUGGGACCCGAAAGAUGGUGAACUAUGCUUGAAUAGGGUGAAGCCAGAGGAAACUCUGGUGGAGGCUCGCAGCGGUUCUGACGUGCAAAUCGAUCGUCAAAUUUGGGCAUAGGGGCGAAAGAC
rnacentral:rRNA from 1 species